rnacentral:rRNA from 1 species
AUUGAACGCUGGCGGCAGGCCUAACACAUGCAAGUCGAAUGGUAACAGGAAACAGCUUGCUGUUUCGCUGACGAGUGGCGGACGGGUGAGUAAUGUCUGUGAAACUGCCUGAUGGAGGGGGAUAACUACUGGAAACGGUAGCUAAUACCGCAUAACGUCGCAAGACCAAAGAGGGGGACCUUCGGGCCUCUUGCCAUCAGAUGUGCCCAGAUGGGAUUAGCUAGUAGGUGGGGUAACGGCUCACCUAGGCGACGAUCCCUAGCUGGUCUGAGAGGGUGACCAGCCACACUGGAACUGAGACACGGUCCAGACUCCUACGGGAGGCAGCAGUGGGGAAUAUUGCACAAAGGGCGCAAGCCUGAUGCAGCCAUGCCGCGUGUAUGAAGAAGGCCUUCGGGUUGUAAAGUACUUUCAGCGGGGAGGAAGGGAGUAAAGAUAAUCCCUGCGCUUAUUGACGUUACCCGAAGAAGAAGCACCGGCUAACUACGUG